rnacentral:rRNA from 1 species
UACGUAGGGUGCAAGCGUUAAUCGGAAUUACUGGGCUUAAAGGGUGCGUAGGCUGUGCGGAAAGUUGGGUGUGAAAUCCCCGGCUCAACCGGGGAAUUGCGCCCAAAACUACCGUGCUUGAGGAAGACAGAGGUGAGCGGAACUUCGGGUGGAGCGGUGAAAUGCGUUGAUAUCCGAAGGAACACCGGUGGCGAAAGCGGCUCACUGGGUCUUUCGACGCUGAUGCACGAAAGCUAGGGGAGCAAACGGGA